rnacentral:rRNA from 1 species
ACACGUAGGAGGCAAGCGUUAUUCGGAUUUACUGGGCGUAAAGCGCGUGCAGGCGGUUUGGUAAGUUGGAUGUGAAAGCUCCCGGCCUAACUGGGAGAGGUCGUUCAAUACUACCAGACUAGAGGAUGGGAGAGGGAGGUGGAAUUCCGGGUGUAGUGGUGAAAUGCGUAGAUAUGCGGAGGAACACCAGUGGCGAAAGCGGCCUCCUGGCCCAUUUCUGACGCUCAGACACGAAAGCUAAGGUAGC